AAGGUUUUUUAUGUUCCUGUUUCUUUAUAGUGAAU
rnacentral:sRNA from 1 species